CAUAAAUUGGGGGUUACGUAGUCCAACCCUGGGGGUGAUGCAGAUUUUUUCCUAAAAAAUGGAGGGAGCACAUGGCCCACCCGGGAACUUGUGAAGCGCGAGGUCCACUCCAUGACGCCAGAUCCCAUUCCCACUGCAUCUUAUCCGUCCAAUGAGAAAAAGGAUCACGAGAGACUGGACCCAGAAAUUCCCCUCAAGCCCGGUCCCUAGCGGGACGCAACCGCGCGCAGCCACUCACCGGCGACCGACGCGGGCCACGCACGCGACAGCAGUCACAGACUAGCGCAAUGGCUGCGUCCCUUCGCUCGCCGCCUCCGGUCCAUGCCGCCUUCUGCCGGUCCCGCGCCGUCGUCCGCGCCUCCUCCUCCUCGUCGUCGUCAUCCGCCGUCUCGUCGUCCUCGUCCGCCCCCAAGGCGCGGUUCGUCGCCCGCCGCUCCGAGUCCGUCUCCGUCCAGCAGCUGGCCCGCCCCCUGGCAGCGGAGUACAUGAGCUUGCCGGCGAGCCAGUACUCGGUGCUGGACGCCGAGCGCAUCGAGCGCGUUGACGACUCCACCUUCCGAUGCUACGUGUACCGCUUCCGCUUCUUCGCGCUUGAGGUCUGCCCCGUCCUACUCGUCCGCGUCGAUGAGGAGCCCAACGGCUGCUGCAUUCGCCUCCUCUCCUGCAAGCUGGAGGGAUCACCACUUGUGGAGGCACAGAAUGACAAGUUCUCAGCUUCCAUGGUGAACAAGGUUUUCUGCAACAGCAGUUUGAAAGAUUCGACCCUUCAACAGCUCACAUCAGAUACUACAAUAGAGGUUGCAAUCGAUAUACCUUUUCCAUUUCGAGCAAUACCAGUUCAAGCAAUUGAAUCAAGUGGCACGCAAGUGCUUGAGCAGUUACUCCGAGUCAUGCUUCCAAGAUUUCUGAAUCAGAUAACCUAAAGGAAGAGCCAUACAUGGGGAGGAUAUAUAUUUGAUUGCCAGAUGCUACUGCUGAGGCCAGAGAUGCUUGUUAAAGAUUACCAAGCUUGGGCUUCUGGUGAUUCUUCAAGGAAACCACUUGGCACUGGUGAAAUAUGAACCUUCCCAGCUCGACCUCCACUAGGCAUGAUAGUUUAUUCUGUUGAAUUAAGUUAUCGCCUCCUUAUGUUGUAUAGAAAUCCUGUCCAAACGUCAUCCACUUUACUCAUGGCAGUUUCUUUCUUAUGUUGAACUUGAUGAAAUUAGCCAUUGUCACCUAGGUUUCUAUUGCAGCCCUUCUGUUGUACGAUCCAUUUCCUUCCCUCUGGUCUUGGUCUGAUUCUGAAGAUGGCAAAUCGAGCAUUUCACAAUGAAGAUUCUAGUAUCUGAACUGCCA